rnacentral:rRNA from 1 species
GACGAACGCUGGCGGCGUGCUUAACACAUGCAAGUCGAACGGAAAGGCCCUGCUUUUGUGGGGUGCUCGGGUGGCGAACGGGUGAGUAACACGUGAGUAACCUGCCCUUGACUUUGGGAGAACUUAAGGAAGCUGGGGCUAAUACCGGAUAGGAGCUCCUGCUGCAUGGUGGGGGUUGGAUAGUUUCGGCGGUUGGGGAUGGACUCGCGGCUUAUCGGCUUGUUGGUUGGGUAGUGGCUGACCAAGGCCUUGACCGGUAGCCGGCCUGGGAGGGUGACCGGCCACAUUGGGCCUGAGCUACGGCACAGACUCCAACGGGAGGCAGCAGUGGGGAAGAUUGUACAAUGGGCGGAAGCAUGAUGCAGCACCGCCGCGUGCGGGAUGACGUCAUUCGGGUUGUAAACCGCAUCCGCCUGAGACGAAGCGUGAGUGACGGUAACGGGUAAAGAAGCACCGGCUAACUACGUG